rnacentral:rRNA from 1 species
AUUGAACGCUGGCGGCAGGCCUAACACAUGCAAGUCGAACGGAGCGGCGGACGGGUGAGUAAUGCCUAGGAAGCUGCCUGGUAGUGGGGGAUAACGUCCGGAAACGGGCGCUAAUACCGCAUAUUAUCAGAUGAGCCGCGGUCGGAUUAGCUAGUUGGUGGGGUAAUGGCCUACCAAGGCGACGAUCCGUAACUGGUCUGAGAGGAUGAUCAGUCACACUGGAACUGAGACACGGUCCAGACUCCUACGGGAGGCAGCAGUGGGGAAUAUUGGACAAUGGGCGAAAGCCUGAUCCAGCCAUGCCGCGUGUGUGAAGAAGGUCUUCGGAUUGUAAAGCACUUUAAGUUGGGAGGCGUUACCAACAGAAUAAGCACCGGCUAACUUCGUGCCAGCAGCCGCGGUAAUAC